UAGUCGCAAGACCAAAGAGGGGGACCUCGGGCCUCUUGCCAUCGGAUGUGCCCAGAUGGGAUUAGCUUGUUGGUGGGGUAACGGCUCACCAAGGCGACGAUCCCUAGCUGGUCUGAGAGGAUGACCAGCCACACUGGAACUGAGACACGGUCCAGACUCCUACGGGAGGCAGCAUG
rnacentral:rRNA from 1 species